AGCAUAUCAAUAAGCGGAGGAAAAGAAACUAACAAGGAUUCCCCUAGUAACUGCGAGUGAAGCGGGAAAAGCCCAAAUUUAAAAUCUGGCGGUCUUGGGCCGUCCGAGUUGUAAUCUGGAGAAGUGUUACCCGCGCCGGACCGUGUACAAGUCCCUUGGAAGAGGGCAUCUUAGAGGGUGAAAAUCCCGUCUACGACAUGGACCCCCGGUGCUUCUGUGGUGCGCUCUCGAUGAGUCGAGUUGUUUGGGAAUGCAGCUCUAAAUGGGUGGUGAACUCCAUCUAAGGCUAAAUAUAGGCGAGAGACCGAUAGCGAACAAGUACCGUGAGGGAAAGAUGAAAAGAACUUUGGAAAGAGAGUUAAACAGUACGUGAAAUUGCUGAAAGGGAAACGCUUGAAGUCAGUCGCGUUGUCCGGGAUUCAGCCUUGCUUCGGCGGGGUUUACUUCCCGGUUGACGGGUCAGCAUCGAUUUUGGCCGUCGGAAAAGGGCGGGGGGAAUGUGGCACCUUCGGGUGUGUUAUAGCCUCCUGUCGGAUUACGGCGGCUGGGAUCGAGGAUCGCAGCGCAGCUCCUUCGGGGGUGCGGGUUCGCCCAGUUCAUGCGCUUAGGAUGCUGGCAUAAUGGCUUUAAACGACCCGUCUUGAAACACGGACCAAGGAGUCUAACACGCCCGCGAGUGUUAGGGUGGAAAACCCUUGCGCGUAAUGAAAGUGAAAGCCGAGAACCCUUUACGGGGUGCACCGGCGCCCGGACCUGGGGCUUCGGCCUUUGGCCCGCGGUGGAGCGUGUGUGUUGGGACCCGAAAGAUGGUGAACUAUGCCUGAAUAGGGUGAAGCCAGGGGAAACCCCUGGUGGAGGCUCGUAGCGAUUCUGACGUGCAAAUCGAUCGUCGAAUUUGGGUAUAGGGGCAAAGACUAAUCGAACCAUCUAGUAGCUGGUUCCUGC
rnacentral:rRNA from 1 species